CCUACGGGAGGCAGCAGUGAGGAAUAUUGGUCAAUGGGCGCGAGCCUGAACCAGCCAAGUCGCGUGAAGGAUGACGGCCCUACGGGUUGUAAACUUCUUUUAUAAAGGAAUAAAGUGAGGUACGUGUGCCUUUUUGUAUGUACUUUAUGAAUAAGGAUCGGCUAACUCCGUGCCAGCAGCCGCGGUAAUACGGAGGAUCCGAGCGUUAUCCGGAUUUAUUGGGGUUAAAGGGUGCGUAGGUGGGUUGUUAAGUCAGAGGUGAAAGUGUGAGGCUCAACUGUAAAAUUGCAUUUGAUACUGGCAGCCUUGAGUGCAGUUGAGGUAAGCGGAAUUCGUGGUGUAGCGGUGAAAUGCUUAGAGAUCACGAAGAACACCGAUUGCGAAGGCAGCCUACUAAGCUGCCACUGACAUUGAGGCUCGAAAGUGUGGGGAGCAAACAGGAUUAGAUACCCCAGUAGUC
rnacentral:rRNA from 1 species